rnacentral:rRNA from 1 species
UUAAGCCAUGCGAGUCGAACGAGUUUAGGCUCGUGGCGUACGGCUCAGUAACACGUGGAUAACCUACCCUUAGGACUGGGAUAACCCUGGGAAACUGGGGAUAAUACUAGAUAGGCAAUUUUUCCUGGAAUGGUUUUUUGUUUAAAUGUUUUUUCGCCUAAGAAUGGGUCUGCGGCCGAUUAGGUAGUUGGUUAGGUAACGGCUUACCAAGCCAUUGAUCGGUACGGGUUGUGAGAGCAAGAGCCCGGAGAUGGAACCUGAGACAAGGUUCCAGGCCCUACGGGGUGCAGCAGGCGCGAAACCUCCGCAAUGUGAGAAAUCGCGACGGGGGGAUCCCAAGUGCCAUUCUUAACGGGAUGGCUUUUCAUUAGUGUAAAGAGCUUUUGGAAUAAGGGCUGGGCAAGACCGGUGCCAGCCGCCGCGGUAA